ensembl:lncRNA novel transcript
AUUAGCUAUCUAUCAUGCGGCCUCCACCAGGCUGCAGGAUAUGAGGGCCAUUUAAUUAGGCCCUGCACCACUCUCGGGUGUGAAAAGGCUCUCAAACGCUUUGAUUCCCCGCUGCUUCGCAGCAGGAAGUUGUUGGCGAUAAUUGACAUAGGAUUUCCUUGUUAACCAGCAGCAGACACGCCGGAUUAAAGCGACAGAGAUCUCGAGAAGAAAGUGAAAGAGAUAAGAAGCUCGGAAGACUUCUGCUUAUUUGGCACUUGAGGAUGGCAGGAAACAGCAAUAACCUACUCAAGUGGCGACUCUAGAGUGGAAGGGCGUCCCCUUAUCAGACCUAUUUCAGCUUGGCUGAUCAAAGAUUGACUCCCCGCAAAAUCACAUAGGCCUGGGGUCAUUGUGAGGCUGCCUGUGAGCGCACUCAACGAGGGAGGAAAUACAGGCAAAUUAACUCUGGGGAGGACCGGGGAUGAGGGGCCUCCACGCCUUGUUCCACUUCGGAAGACGGUGCGAUCUCAUUUUGCCCUGUGCGAUUCCUUAGGUAUAACAUCCAAUUGCUCCUGUUGGAAGGGACACUCUGCAUGUAAAUGGCAGAGACACUCUGGUUCACUCAAAUGUAUUGUUCCUGAAAGAAAGGAAGUGGUCUGCAGAGGUAAAGUUGGAAAAUGGUUGUUUACCUGUCAGCACCAGAGUCUAAAACUUACUACAUUGAAAUCACACCAAGCAUGAACAUAGGGUACCAUGUGCCAGAAAUUAGCCUGUUUCUGAUGGGGAAAAAUAAACUGGCAUGAAAUUUAUUUUUCCUAAA